GAGUUUGAUCCUGGCUCAGAACGAACGCUGGCGGCGUGCUUAACACAUGCAAGUCGAACGUGAUCCAGAGCUUGCUCUGGUGAAAGUGGCGCACGGGUGAGUAACGCGUGGAUAACCUGCCCUGGUAUCUGGGAUAACAUCUCGAAAGGGGUGCUAAUACCGGAUAAGCCUACGGGCUCUUCGGAGUCUGCAGGAAAAGGAGGCCUCUAUUUAUAAGCUUCCGUAUCAUGAUGGGUCCGCGUACCAUUAGCUAGUUGGUGGGGUAAUGGCCUACCAAGGCGACGAUGGUUAGCUGGUCUGAGAGGAUGAUCAGCCACACUGGAACUGAGACACGGUCCAGACUCCUACGGGAGGCAGCAGUGGGGAAUUUUGCGCAAUGGGGGAAACCCUGACGCAGCAACGCCGCGUGAGUGAUGAAGGCUUUCGGGUCGUAAAGCUCUGUCAGAGGGGAAGAAAUGGGUCGUGCUAAUAUCGCGACUUCUUGACGGUACCCUCAAAGGAAGCACCGGCUAACUCCGUGCCAGCAGCCGCGGUAAUAC
rnacentral:rRNA from 1 species